AACAGCACAUACAACAGGUUCCUGUCUGGAAUCCAAACCCUGCUAGUGCUAUUUGGUUCCAGAGCAAUCUCCUCACCCCUGGAUCAUUGAAACAGCUCCUGACUUGUCUCUCCGUGUCUGCCCAUCCUCCCCACAGCAGAACAGCAAGAGGGAUUCCACCAGGAACAGGUGACUUGCUCCAGUCUGACCCCUUCCUUCUGGCUAGCCCUGGAGACAGAUGGGCACUCUGAGUGUCUCCCUGGAUCACGUCCAAGUGGCCACUUGCAUUUGACUCCUUGCUCAGCAUCUGUCUCUAGAGAAACCUAAAUCAGACAGGGUCCGAAGAACUUCUGGAACUCGGCAAGGAGGAUCUGAUAAAACCCUCUCUCCGGGCAGCCUCCCCUCCCCGUCUUCAUUACUCAGGCAUGCAUUUAUGCAAGCACUGGGCACACACUCACCACGUGUCAAGCCCAGUCCCAUCACUGGGGACAAAGAUGUACAAACAAGUCCCUGAACCUGGGAAUAGGAGCCAGCACUUAGUAGGUUGAACCAGUGGCUUCGACCUGGACACAAGUGGGACAUCCUAGGUGAAAUCUGUAAUAUCAUUAAUGAGCUGACAUACUGACAAGACCCCCCCCUCCCAAUUAUCCCCCAUGAUGGGUGCUAUCCUAAGCAUUGUCUCAAUUCUCCCAACUGCCCAUGAGUACAAAGGAGGUCCUUGCGGCUGUGAGGCAUCAGCCAGUUCCAAAUCGCUGGCACCGGGCAGCAGAAUGCAGGUCCUGGGAAUGGCUUGAAGUUUGGAAGUAGAUGUGUUCUUGGUUUAAGCAUGACGCUUCACACAUCUCCUCUCCCAAUUAUCAACUACUUUGGGCAAACCAAGUAGGUUUCUGACUCCAGCACCCUUGCUGCAUCUUAGUCAACUGUGAACGCCAGCUCACAGUUCCUUCCCAGCAACAUAUUCUAAUUGAUUGGUUUCUC